GUCCUAGCCGUAAACGGUGCACGUUUGCUGUGAGUGGAAUCGACCCCACUCGUGGCGUAGCCAACGCGUUAAACGUGCCGCCUGGGAAGUACUGUCGCAAGAUUAAAACUCAAAGAAAUUGACGGGGCCUGCACAAGCGGUGGAGUAUGUGGCUCAAUUCGAUGCAACGCGAAGAACCUUACCUGGCCUUGACAUGUACGUAGUAGAAGGGUGAAAGCCUAACGAGGUAGCAAUACCAGCGUACACAGGUGCUGCAUGGCUGUCGU
rnacentral:rRNA from 1 species